UCAGAAGUGGGAUCCAAAGAAGACCCUCAACAACUCUGAGGCCAGUGAGCAACCACGUGCUGGUACCCACUGGACCCAUUGAGCUCACCACUUUCUUGCCAACCUUGCAGUCAGCCUGAAUGCUGCUCUCUUUGCAUGUUGAGCUCUCGGAAUUUAUUGUGCAUACCUGUAUUUUGUUUGUUGAAGCUUCUUGAAGAAGAAAGGAAAAAGAAGAAGGCAAAACCUAAAUGGAUAUAGAAAGAUGCAAAAGGCAAAAUGCUUCAUCUUCAACGAGAUUUAUGGAAAAGCUAUUAACAAGUACUCUAGAAUACAAGUUUCGGAUAACUUUAAGAUCAUAACACUGAACUGGGUAAGAAUUUCUAAGACUCUACUGGAAAAGUGAUUGAUUCAUAAAGCUACUAACCCAAGAUGAAGCAAAAGAAAAAUUA